UACGUAGGGUGCAAGCGUUAAUCGGAAUUACUGGGCGUAAAGCGUGCGUAGGUGGUUUGUUAAGUCUGAUGUGAAAGCCCUGGGCUCAACCUGGGAAUUGCAUUGGAUACUGGCAGGCUAGAGUGCGGUAGAGGGUAGUGGAAUUCCCGGUGUAGCAGUGAAAUGCGUAGAGAUCGGGAGGAACAUCCGUGGCGAAGGCGACUACCUGGACCAGCACUGACACUGAGGCACGAAAGCGUGGGGAGCAAACAGG
rnacentral:rRNA from 1 species